rnacentral:piRNA from 1 species
CCGGCGCCUGAGUUUUAUGUGUAAG